UCGAGAAUCUUCGGCAAUGGGCGAAAGCCUGACCGAGCGACGCCGCGUGCGGGAUGAAGGCCCUCGGGUUGUAAACCGCUGUCAGUGGGGAGGAAGGCUCUGUGAAGAGCAGGGUUUGACCUAUCCGCAGAGGAAGUCCGGGCUAAGUUCGUGCCAGCAGCCGCGGUAACACGAACCGGACAAACGUUAUUCGGAAUCACUGGGCUUAAAGGGUGCGUAAGCGGCCUGACAAGUUGGGUGUGAAAUCCCUCGGCUCAACCGAGGAAUUGCGCUCACAACUGUUGGGCUCGAGAGAGUUAGAGGUAAGCGGAACUUAGGGUGGAGCGGUGAAAUGCGUUGAUAUCCUAAGGAACACCAGUGGCGAAAGCGGCUUACUGGAGCUCUUCUGACGCUGAGGCACGAAAGCUGGGGGAGCGAACGG
rnacentral:rRNA from 1 species